UACAGAGGGUGCGAGCGUUGUCCGGAAUCACUGGGCGUAAAGGGCGCGUAGGUGGCGACCCAAGUCGAUGGUGAAAGCUCGCCGCUCAACGGCGAGUCGGCCACCGAUACUGGGUUGCUGGAGCACUGUAGAGGCAGAUGGAAUUCCGGGUGUAGCGGUGGAAUGGCGUAGAGAUCCGGAAGAACACCGGUGGCGAAGGCGGGUCUCUGGACAGUUCCCUGACGCUGAGGCACGAAGGCCAGGGGGAGCAAACGGGG
rnacentral:rRNA from 1 species